rnacentral:rRNA from 1 species
UACGUAGGGUGCGAGCGUUGUCCGGAAUUACUGGGCGUAAAGAGCUCGUAGGUGGUUUGUCGCGUUGUUCGUGAAAACUCACAGCUCAACUGUGGGCGUGCGGGCGAUACGGGCAGACUGGAGUACUGCAGGGGAGACUGGAAUUCCCGGUGUAGCGGUGGAAUGCGCAGAUAUCAGGAGGAACACCGGUGGCGAAGGCGGGUCUCUGGGCAGUAACUGACGCUGAGGAGCGAAAGCGUGGGGAGCGAACAGG